UAAUAAGAAACAAUAAUGUAUUUAGUUUCGACCUAACGUUUGAUGUUAAAUCAUCCUUAUUUU
rnacentral:tRNA from 1 species